rnacentral:rRNA from 1 species
CCCUUAGAUGUUCUGGGCUGCACGCGCGCUACAAUGGCGUUUUCAAAAAGAUUGCUAAUCCGAAAGGACCAGCGGAUCUUCGAAGUGGCGUCGUGAUCGGGACAGUUGAUUGCAAUUAUUCGACUCGAACGAGGAAUUCCUUGUAAUCGUGCGUCAUCAGCGCGCGCUGAAUACGUCCCUGUUCUUUGUACACACCGCCCGUCGCUCCUACCGAUCGAGCGAUCCAAUGAAUGUUUCGGAGCGGAACUGAGAUGCUAAUGCGUCUCUUUUACGCGAAUUUGUGUGAAUUUGAUCGCUUAGAGGAAGGAGAAGUCGUAACA